CCGGGCUCAACCUGGGAACUGCAUUUGUGGACUGCANNCUAGAGUGNGUCAAGAGGGGGGUAGAAUUCACGUGUAGCAGUGAAUGCGUAGAAGAUGUGGAGGAAUACCGAUGCGAAGGCAGCCCCCUGGGAUACACUGACGCUCAUGCACGAAAAGCGUUGGGAGCAAACAGGAAUAAGAUACCCUGGUAGUCCACGCCCUAAACGAUGUCUACUAGUUGUCGGGUCUUAAUUGACUUGGUAACGCAGCUAACGCGUGAAGUAGACCGCCUGGGGAGUACGGUCGCAAGAUUAAAACUCAAAGGAAUUGACGGGGACCCGCACAAGCGGUGGAUGAUGUGGAUUAAUUCGAUGCAACGCGAAAAACCUUACCUACCCUUGACAUGGCUGGAAUCCUUAAGAGAUUAGGGAGUGCUCGCAAGAGAACCAGUACACAGGUGCUGCAUGGCUGUCGUCAGCUCGUGUCGUGAGAUGUUGGGUUAAGUCCCGCAACGAGCGCAACCCUAGUCAUUAGUUGCUACGAAAGGGCACUCUAAUGAGACUGCCGGUGACAAACCGGAGGAAGGUGGGGAUGACGUCAAGUCCUCAUGGCCCUUAUGGGUAGGGCUUCACACGUCAUACAAUGGUACAUACAGAGGGCCGCCAACCCGCGAGGGGGAGCUAAUCCCGGAAAGUGUAUCGUAGUCCGGAUUGUAGUCUGCAACUCGACUGCAUGAAGUUGGAAUCGCUAGUAAUCGCGGAUCAGCAUGUCGCGGUGAAUACGUUCCCGGGUCUUGUACACACCGCCCGUCACACCAUGGGAGCGGGUUUCACCAGAAGUAGGUAGCUUAACCGCAAGGAGGGCGCUUACCACGGUGGGAUUCGUGACUGGGGUGAAGUCGUAACAAGGUAACC
rnacentral:rRNA from 1 species